UAUAUACUCCCUCCGUUCGAGAAAAAGCUUGUCCCUCAAAUGGAUGUAUCUAGCACCAAGUUAGUGCUAGAUACAUCCAUUUGAGGGACAAGCUUGGGACAAGCUUUUUCGGACGGAGGGAGUUUGAA
rfam:Triticum aestivum genome assembly, contig: Triticum_aestivum_CS42_TGACv1_scaffold_062466_1DL